UCAGAAGGAAGCUCACCACUGAGGUCACUUGCUGAGUGCUAGUCACUCCCUUCUCUCUGCCUCUGGGAAGGUCUGAGACAAGAGCCAACAGCUGACCUUACAGGGAACCCCCUGAUAUGGGGGGAUGAGGUACCAGGGAGGCUGGGCUCUGCCUUGGGAGAGGCAGAGAAGCCUGAGAGGAGGCUAUUCUCCCUUGACUGAUGCCUAUCCCCUGUGCAGGAUCUUGAGACAGGCUCAUGGCUAGCAACAUUGAGUCCAAUGGGAUGAGGUGAGGCUUGCUCCCCACAUGCAGGACUCACAACCCAAUUCAGACUACUCUCCCUCUGA
rnacentral:RNase_P_RNA from 2 species